rnacentral:antisense_RNA from 1 species
CUGGCGGUGAACUCCCAGUGCCGGGCGGGCCCGGUGAGGGUGUCGUCGCCGAAGUAGUCGCCGUCCGCGAGCACCCCCAGCGAGACCGUGCCGUCAUACGCGCCCGGGCCGCGCCGGUCGACCUUGCCGUGCGCGAUGAGGACCGCCUCGGAGGCCGGCUGCCCGGCCUCCACGAUCACAUCGCCCGCCGCGUACUCCCGCUGCGUGAAUCGAUCCGCCAGGCUCUCCAGCGCCUCGGAGUCCGCAAAGCCCCGCAGCAGGGGGAGUUCGGCCAGCUCGGGCGGGAUCACCCGGACAUCGGGACCGGUGGAGAUGAACUCCACCCGGCCGUCGCCCAGCGUGUGGGUGAGCCGGCGGUUCACCCGGUACGUACCGGCCGACACCUGCACCCAGGGCAGCACCCGCAGCAGCCACCGGGAGGAGAUGCCCUGCAUCUGCGGUACGGACUUGGUCGUCGUCGUGAGCGUACGGGCCGCUGGUGUGCCGAGGCUCAGCCGCGGCUCUUCAG